UGAGGAACAUGACCUUCGGCGGGGGAUAGCCGGCCCAACGGCCGGGUAAUACCGCGUACGACCAUACGGGGACAUCCCUGGAUGGUGAAAGCAGCAAUGCGCCGAUAGAGUGCCUCGCGGCCUAUCAGCUAGUUGGGUGGGGUAACGGCUCACCAAGGCAACGACGGGUAGCUGGUCUGAGAGGAUGGCCAGCCACAUUGGGACUGAGACACGGCCCAGACUCCGUAGGGACGG
rnacentral:rRNA from 1 species